rnacentral:misc_RNA from 1 species
CCCUAGCCUCGAUUGCAGCAUUUGUUUGAGCUCAUUUUUUUGGUUCGGGGGCGCGGCUUCGCCGCGCCCCCGAACCAAAAAAUUGCGAGUACGGAAAGCGAGAAUUGCU